ACAGGUGCUGCAUGGCUGUCGUCAGCUCGUGUUGUGAAAUGUUGGGUUAAGUCCCGCAACGAGCGCAACCCUUAUCCUUUGUUGCCAGCGGUCCGGCCGGGAACUCAAAGGAGACUGCCAGUGAUAAACUGGAGGAAGGUGGGGAUGACGUCAAGUCAUCAUGGCCCUUACGACCAGGGCUACACACGUGCUACAAUGGCGCAUACAAAGAGAAGCGACCUCGCGAGAGCAAGCGGACCUCAUAAAGUGCGUCGUAGUCCGGAUUGGAGUCUGCAACUCGACUCCAUGAAGUCGGAAUCGCUAGUAAUCGUGGAUCAGAAUGCCACGGUGAAUACGUUCCCGGGCCUUGUACACACCGCCCGUCACACCAUGGGAGUGGGUUGCAAAAGAAGUAGGUAGCUUAACCUUCGGGAGGGCGCUUACCACUUUGUG
rnacentral:rRNA from 1 species